rnacentral:rRNA from 1 species
GAUGAACGCUAGCGGCAGGCCUAAUACAUGCAAGUCGAACGGGAUCUGAGGGUAGCUUGCUACCCGAUUUGAGAGUGGCGCACGGGUGCGUAACGCGUGAGCAACCUACCCAUAUCAGGGGGAUAGCCCGAAGAAAUUCGGAUUAACACCGCAUAACAAUACGUUAACACAUGUUAAUGUAUUUAAAUAUUUAUGGGAUAUGGAUGGGCUCGCGUGACAUUAGCUAGUUGGUAAGGUAACGGCUUACCAAGGCGACGAUGUCUAGGGGCUCUGAGAGGAGAAUCCCCCACACUGGUACUGAGACACGGACCAGACUCCUACGGGAGGCAGCAGUAAGGAAUAUUGGUCAAUGGGCGCAAGCCUGAACCAGCCAUGCCGCGUGCAGGAUGACUGCCCUAUGGGUUGUAAACUGCUUUUGUUAGGGAAUAAACCUACUUAUGUAUAAGUAGCUGAAUGUACCUAAAGAAUAAGGAUCGGCUAACUCCGUGCCAGCAGCCGCGGUAA